UACGAAGGGGACUAGCGUUGUUCGGAAUUACUGGGCGUAAAGCGCACGUAGGCGGAUUUGUUAGUCAGGGGUGAAAUCCCGGGGCUCAACCUCGGAACUGCCUUUGAUACUGCAAGUCUCGAGUCCGAUAGAGGUGGGUGGAAUUCCUAGUGUAGAGGUGAAAUUCGUAGAUAUCAGGAGGAACACCUGUGGCGAAGGCGGCCAUCUGGAAGAUUACUGACGCUGAGACGCGAAAGCGUGGGGAGCAAACAGG
rnacentral:rRNA from 1 species